UGGGGAAUAUUGCACAAUGGGCGAAAGCCUGAUGCAGCAACGCCGCGUGAGUGAUGAAGGCCUUCGGGUUGUAAAGCUCUGUCUUUUGGGACGAUAAUGACGGUACCAAAGGAGGAAGCCACGGCUAACUACGUGCCAGCAGCCGCGGUAAUACGUAGGUGGCAAGCGUUGUCCGGAUUUACUGGGCGUAAAGGAUGCGUAGGCGGAUUUUUAAGUGAGAUGUGAAAACCCUAAGCUUAACUUGGGGACUGCAUUUCAUACUGGAAAAUCUAGAGUGCGGGAGAGGAGAAAUGGAAUUCCUAGUGUAGCGGUGAAAAUGCGUAGAGAUUAGGAAGAAACACCAGUGGCGAAGGCGAUUCUCUGGACCGUAACUGACGCUGAGGCAUGAAAAGCGUGGGUAGCAAAACAGGAUUAGAUACCCUGGUAGUCCACGCCGUAAAACGAUGAGUACUAGGUGUAGGAGGUAUCGACCCCUUCUGUGCCGCAGUUAAACACAAUAAAGUACUCCGCCUGGGAAGUACGAUCGCAAGAUUAAAAACUCAAAAGGAAUUGACGGGGUC
rnacentral:rRNA from 1 species